AUAAGUGGUGCCAGGCUGUAUCAGAUUAGAAGCCACACAAUCUUGUUUCUGGUUGCAAGCAUUUUAAAUCAAAACGCAAUGAUCAAUUUUCUCCUCUCUCCAACUGUGCAGUUCUGCAAAGUAUUUUUACUGUCUCAGCCUUAAAUACUGAUGCUGAACAUAUGUAUAGUAUGGCAAUCCACAGGCAUUUUGUGCUUUAAUUCUGCAGUGAUAACUCGGCUGUCUCCACCACCUUGCACACUGCACUAGUUGUAGUUUAGUGUUCAAAAAACUGAGACCACUGUAUUUCUUCAGCUUUUAUUUAAGUUGGUGUUCAUACACAUUAUGCUUGUUUCCUGUCACUGAACAUCUUGAAGCCAUAGGAAAUCCAUGUGAGUACCCAAUUUGUCUGUGAUAAGCCAAGUUUGUGAGUUAAAGCAAGACCACUUACACAUCUUUCCAAAAAAUAAUAUGGUCCAUACAUCCCCAAUCUCAAAAUGUGAUAUCGCCUACCAUGGCCAAAAUUUUGAAUUAAUAAGAGCGCAAAAGGCAAAAAUUCAUUGCCUGGCCUUUGCCAGAAAGCUCCAUAAAAUUUCUUCCACUGCAGCUUCUAACCAAAAGGCAAAUUAACCACUGCAUCCAAAUUGCCCACUCAUCAACCUCAAGUAGGCCAGUUCACUUUAACACUGUUUGUUUGUCAGGCUGGAUCCAGUCUCAGUGGGUAUAGCCCAUACAUCUAAUUCACAACAGAGGAUCUCCUGAAGCUGCCCCAAGUUGUAGACCUAAAAGGCUCAAAGGGAAGGAAAGUUUAAAGUGCAUUUUUCAGCAAGAAAAAAAAUACGACAUUUCAUCCAGAUCCAUUCUUGAACUGUUGCUUUCAAAAAAAAAAAAAGCCCUUUGCUCUGCUGUCACUCAAUCUGCAGCCCACAGAUGACUGGGAUCAAUACUACAGUUGGGAGCAGUUUGCAAAAUCACUGCAAAACUGCACUUCCAAAGGAACAUGGUCACAGUUUUUUGUGCAACCAGUGAUUGUACAAGUGUUUUCCAGGAGACAAAGGUCAAAGCUGGCUCCCUACUGCUGUCAGUUUCCAUGAGCAUCAUCUUUAGGGUCUUCAAUUUUUCUGAUGAACCUGUUUAUUAAAAUUACAAAUUUUGGUAGAACAUCAUCAUACUGUGUAUCUAAAUAUUGAAUACUUCAUCUCUCUCCCUCUUCCCCUUCCAGUUGGUAAACACCAAUGGAACACAAGAUGGAAGUAGGUUUUCUGGUUUUCUCUUUUUUUACUGACAUGUGAGGUGGUAGUUAGUCUGAAGAAGGCUUCUGUACUGCAUUAACUAAGAAUUAAUUGUAUGAACAUACCUGGCAAUUAUCCAGUAACUAGCAGAGAACAGAAUUACAGAGAAGGCCUGUUUCUCCUCACUUACUCUGAUCUGUGUAUGGCCACAAUGGUGCAUGUCACACAACGCAUCUGGAAAAUCUCAUCACAGUGUCAGGCAAUAUCUAUAUCCACCUCUGCUCUGCUCAGAUGUAGACAUAUGCAGUUAGAGGAGAGGAAUUUCACCCAUAGACACUUCCAAUGACUAAUGCAAAAAACAAAUACAGAAGCAUUCAGUGAGUGCUCCCAUUACCAAAUAGUUCAUAUAUUUUAUUCAAUAAUCAUGUAAUGCCAAAGGAGUAAGUCAUCCCAGAGUCCUGAACCUCCAGCUGAGAGAUCUAAUCUCCCGGCAUCAAGGGGAAGCACCCUCCUUGUGUGGCACAACAACUCUUUGUAUUGGGUUUGCAUUGCCAGCUUUUGGUAGAAGUGGGGGCUACAGGAGUGCCUUCUGUAAGAAGCUUCUAGAAGCUUCCACCAUGUCUAGCAGAGCCAGUGCCAGCCAACUCCAGGAUUGAUGGGCCCGCCACUGGCCAAGGGCAAGCCAAUCAGGAACGAGGGGAACUCCUUUGUGAUAACAUAUUUAAAAAGGAGAAAAAAAGUUAUUGGGCAGAUGUAAUUGCAGCCAGAGAAGAGAGGGGUAAGAAUAUGUGAGAAGAGCAGUUCUGCAGACACUCAGCUCAGUGGAAAAGGAGAGGGAGGAGGUGCUCCAGGUGCCAGAGCUGAGAUUCCCCUGUAGUCUCUGGAGGAGACCUACGCCAGAGUAGGUGGAUGCCUGAAAAGAAGGCUGUGAACCUAUGGGAAGUCCAUGUUGGAGCAUGCUCCUAGCAGGGACCUGCAGACCCAUGGAAUGAGGAGCCUAUGCUGGAGCAGGUUUCCUGGUAGGACUUGUGACCCUGUGGGGUACCCACACUGGAACGGGCUGUGCCCAAAGGACUGCACCCUGUGGAAGAGUGACCCACAUUGCAACAGUUCAUGGAGAACCGUUGCCUGUGGGAUAGGCUGACAUUGGAGAAAUUCAUAGAGGACUGUCUCACGUGGGAGGGAUCCCAUGCUGGAGCAGGGGAAGGAGUCCUCUCCCUUAGCAGUGGCAGAAACAACUGUGAUGAACUGACUGUAACCCCAAUUCCCCAUCUCCCUGCACCACAGGUGAGGAGAUAGAGUUUGGGAAGGAGGAAGAGGAGGGGAAAAAGGUGUUUUUAUGAUUUAUUCUACUUCUCAUUAUCCUGCUCUGAUUUUGUUAGUAAUGAAUUCAAUUAAUAAUCUCAAGGUGAGUCUGUUUUGCCUGUGACGGUAUUUGGUGACUGAUCUCUCCCUGUCCUCAUCUCAAAUCAUUAACCCUUCAUUAUAUUUUCUGUCCACUGUCCACUUGUGGAGGGAAGUGAUAGGGUGGCUUUGGUGGGCACCUGACAUCCGAUCAGGGUCAACCCACAAUAAUUUUUCUUUAUCCAGCCUGAUAAGGGGACAUGGAGCUUCUGUGCUGAGAGAUGAAAAUUGUAUGCACAGAUGCACAGAUCCCUUCACAGUCAGUGGAAAUGAACCGUGCAUCCUACCAGAUCAUGGUCCUUUUAACAUCUAGAGGAAUGAUUCCUGUACUGAACAGUGACACAUGAACCACACCAUUCAACCCUGAUGAGAUGGGAGCAGUCCUGGGAAAGCACAGCAAUAUGACCCUGGAAUGCACUGGUGAAAAUCCAGUGAAGUCAUAGUAAUAGCAUUUCUAAUAAUAAAAAACAGGGUGCGAGUUUUGAGGACCCCUGUCUGGGAUUUGGAAACCUUAAUUCUACCAUAUUUUCUCUUUAAACAACACAACCCUCAGCUGCUCAUUUGAAUCACUGAGUCUUAGAUUCCAACACUCAUCAGCAGAUAGUGGUCUGUCAACUGAUCCCUGGGGGGGGGGGGGGUGAGAAUGAACACCAAAACUUCCAGGCUUUGACAACUCUCACCUCAGGGCGGGUCCAUACAUUAAAAAGUACAUUAAUCAUCACAGAUUGGACCUGUACUUUAGCCACUGUGAACUGCACAGGAGAGGCAACUGUAAACAUUAAUGUUUUGACCUACAACUGUUGUAAGGGAAUUGUCUGGUCUGAUUGGUUUCUGUAAAAGUUGUGUAAUAGGGAAUGAAAGAAACAGUUUUCCAAAGGACCUCAGCUAGCAGUCACAUGCAUCCUUCUACCCAAGUAUCUCUACUGACUUCUCCAAUGUGCUCUAAGAAUCCUCUGAAAGCUGUUUGCUGAAUGACUAUUUGAGUUGAUUUUGUCCUGGGCAAAUCAUACCUUCCAAAGGACAAUUUUUUCCAUUGAGAAGAAGCUAUCAGUGAAGUGCUGCUGGAAUUGAAACACAAAUCAGCAGUCUCAGUGAAGACACAAAAAAUUGAUGAUCAAUUUGUCUUGUUUUUCUGUAAACCAUUCUUUCAGCAUCAAACCUCAGACAUGAUAACUGUAUAAAGAAAACUUCCAGAUCUACAGCGAUGUGUUACAACAGCGCAAGCUGCUUUUCAGAGCCAGAAGUCUGGCUCUUUUAGCAAGCACUACCACUAAAAAGCUUUUUUUAAAGGCUAUAGAAAGCACACUCUAGCCAACUUGCCCCAAAAUGUGAAAUCAAAUAGACUGUGUAAGUUCAGUAUCACUAAGGCUGGUGAAAAAUCAGUGGAAUGAAAUUCCUGCCCAGAAAAAUACCCUGUCUAUGGAGUAAUGCUGUAGACACCCCUGAACAGAUGGGAUGCAGAAAGGUCCAUGACAUCUAGAGAUGAAAAUAGCUUUUACAAAAAAAUAAAAAAAGCCAAGAUCACAGGCCUGAUUCUGAUCUCACCUUGCUGUAAAUCAUAAGUCACUCCAUUUAGGCUGGAAGUUAAGUCAAAUCAAUUUAAGACCCUUAAUUUUUAGGGAAGGAUAAUUACUUUAUUCCCUCCUUUCCAAUUCAAAGCAACCCAUCAAGCAUCCAGAUGGCUGUAGGCUGUAAAAGAGCAUUUCUCUGGAUGAAACCAACCCUUCUCCCUCCUUUAAAUCCCCUGCCCUCUAGUAAAACACUUUAAUAAUGUGUAAGAGCUAUUUUUGUUGGGGUAUGCCCAGUUGUCCUAGACAUAAUAUAGACUGUCUCCCAGUCCAAAAUCAACUCAGGUGGCCGCUGUGAAGCUGUGAAGUCAGAGACAUGCAGCAUGGGAGCACCAGAAGUACCUUUUAAAACAAAAGGUAGGUCUUUCCCCUUUCUGUGUCAAAUCACCUGUAGCCAGUAGAAAUUCCGCUAGCAAGUGGCUGCCUGCCCUGUCGUUGGCCUCUGAAGACAUCUGUCUCUGAAGGGCUCUGUAUUUAGGUCACAUACAUUUUCAAAACAACUCAAUAUCUUUGUGGAAAAUUUAAAAAAUUACUCCAAGACAUAUUCCUUCCUGCAUCUGUAAGGAUAAUGUUACACAUCCUGAUCUGCGUGAGAGAUGAGCAGGCUCACAGACGUGUCCUGGUUUUGAGCCAGACACUACAAUGCUAAGACGUGCAGCUUCUGUGCCCAACCCAGCAUCCAAACUGAAAUUAUAAAAAAAGUGUACAAAACUCUCAGAAGAACCUGUGUGAUUCUUACCUUUUCUCCCACUUGCCUGAUCGCAAUAGCAUUAAACCCUCUCCAAGUAGGGUUAAUUUUACCUUUUUAAUUUAAAUGAAAAUGUUCUCCUUUUCCCAUGCGAGCUUGUAAAGUCAUGGGAACAUAUUCUGCUGCCUUCCUGACAUAAAUCAAUGGAUAUAUUGGAGGGACAGGCCAAAAAAUAUAUACAUUUCUUGCCCUUCAGCUCUGUUUCACCCAUAAGCAUUUGCCCACAUCCUGGAACAGAAGAAAUGUUUUCUUUCCAUUGAGUUUCCGACCUUCAUAUUUCUACAGAAGUUGGCCAUUACCACACAGUUGAUACUAACAACUUGACUCAGAAUCUGUUAGGAAGAGAAACCCUUUUAACAGAAUGACAAUUGUAAUUCAUCCAAAAACACCUACAAACAAUGAAAUAAACUGAAAUACAAGUAAAUGUUUUUCUUGAGGAUACUGUCUAAUACAAACUCCUUUACACUGAUUCUUCUUCAAACAUACCUUCAUUUAAUAGGUAAUUGCCAGCUUAUUCAUCCUACUCCUGUUCAGAAUACACACAAAUUCAUUGUCUUGAGUAUAACGAAAGACUAAAAAUCUAUGGAAAACCAGAUAUUUCUUGGCCAAUAAUGUGUAAACUGUGACAGUUUAUAAAUUCAGACUGCUGGAAAGUGCAAGUUUAUGGUCCUUACUAAGCUACCACAUACAAUAGUUACAGGCAAAUGUUAAAAAAGGUAGGCUAGAAGGAGAGAAAAUCAAAAUUCAUAUUUUUUGCAUGUAGUAUGCUCUAAGAUAUAUCUGUCAUUCCUGUGGACCACUGUUCAUCUGGGGGCCUAUGAAUGCAUGGUGAACCUCAGGGCAUGAUUCUUUUCCAUGCUAUUCAUAACAAGUAUAUUUCUGCAAAAAGUAGCAUUCUCCAUUGUCUUAUCUUCAAACCUAUCUUGAGCAAACCUACACAGUUUCUAAAGUGCACCCCAAUGCAUUCUGUGGCUGUGAUUUAGCAUUUUCCUGCUGUCAAAGGAACCUGUACAACUCCAGCCUCAUUAAUAUGAGAGUGCAAUCUUUACUGAAUUCAUCCUUAAAGCAACCCUCACAAUAAGGGAAGGCCACCACCACCCCCCACCCCAAGGUAGAGAAUGACAUCUCAGGAAAAUCAUCCUCAGGAUCCAGCACAGUGCUUAGACAGUUUUUGAUACGUGAAUACCUCCUACUGGACAACUUUUCCUUGGAGUCUCAUCUGAUGGUCUGAAGGACCCUGCAUACUAAAAUACCCCUACCACUUCUCCUGGUAGUCUGAAAAACCCACUCUGUGCCAAAAUAACCCUAACAGCUCAUCCUGAUGGUCUAAAAGAUCCCCUGCACCAAAGAUCUCCUGGACUUCAUAGACCUGUGUGGGUCAUGCUCAGUUAGAGAUCCACUACUCUUGGUGCAUCACUCAGAAGUGCUUUGCUGAAGACGACAUUUGGGGAGUCUGAGAUGGUUCAGAAACAUUAGUCCAGACCCACUAUCAGCAUUGUAUCCCACACAUGAGACAAAACAACAAUGUAAUCCUCAGCCACAACCAGCCACUGUCCUGUGUUCUCACCUGCCCUGCUGGCUUCGCUGCCACCUUGCACCUCCUGAGGUCUGCACACAGCUUGCACCUACUACCAACUAUUUUUGCUCAAUUUAUCCCAUUGCUCACCUUCUUGGAGUCCCUCCACCACUUCCCCAAGUCAACAAACAUCCUGUCCAGACUUACCCAACACUUGUUAGCCCACUGACAGUUUUUUAUUUUCUUGACAAGUAAAUCAAGCUUUAACUUUUUUUCAGGCAUUUGGCUUCAGUCUUUAUCUAUAGUUCCCCAUGCAAAUGAAGGCUCCUCAUGCAUAUUCACUAUGUAUCCCAUGUCUCCAAAAACACAUCUGUCAGAAAAUGAUCUUCUUAUAAGUUGUCCAUUAUAUAUGUUCCACUUUCCUUGGGAUUUCCUUAUCUGAGCCUGGCAAUAUUUCUUUUGGACAAGACAAAAAUUUGUUUCAGAAGGACAAAAUAAAUUUGGGUUGAAUUUGGCUAAUCCUGUUGCUGCUGGGAAAGAAAGGAUAAAGUUUUUUUAAAGUGAUUGCUUUUUUCAAUACGGCAUUGAUUGUUCCAAAUUUGACCAUAAUUUAAAAGCAAACAAAAAAAACCAAAAACUGUUAAACACAGAAGUGAAUGACCUCCAAUCCGAAGAUGACAUUGUGCAGCGAACCAAAUUAUUUGAAUCCAAAUAGUUUUUUAUUUUUUCUCUUUGCAGAAAAUGGAACAAUUCCUGUCCCAGAUGGGGACCUAAGCCUCUCACCCCUUUUUAUUUCUGACAUGUCCUGAAGACCUAUCAAUUCUGAUGGCCUAUGGCAGCACACAGCAGCAAAUAGGGCUGUGCUCCUAUCUUCCUUCUCCCUAUGUGGAUCCAUGGGCUGGUCACUGGGACUAGAUUCACCCUAGCUUGCUUUAGAAAUUUGAACCACCACUUACCAACCUCAGGUCAUCCCAGAAUAAUGCGUCUCAGUUGUUUUGAUGCCUUGAGGAAAGACAAGAAAUCGUUUGGUUUUGUGUAUGAGCCCAUUAGGCUAGACGUGCUUCAUUGUUGUAGCAUGUCCAUCACUGGGCUGACACCAGACCCAGUCCUCACCUGAGUGCAGCUACCUAGCAGCUGUGGACAGAAGGCUACACGAGGAGCUCUGGUCCCCCAUCAACCUACCAGGGCUCAGAAGCUAAACCUCCAACAUCUGCCCACUUCCUAGACAUGUGAAGACAUCCAUCACAUGUGAACAAGAGGUUAAAGCCACCAGGUUUGGGCUGCCCUUCUCUGGCAAGCCAUCAAGCUGAAGCAGUUGCUCAGCAGAAGUUUGAAGACUGAUUUUUUUAUUAAGGAAAAAACUUCCCACUGGACAUACGUCAGUGUCCAGAUCUGGUGAGAGCUGAGGGAGAGCUCAGACGGAAGGUGAACCGAGAACACGGCCAUAGCCCAGCACACCUGGAGACCUAAGUAGUACUACAGAAAUUACUUUCUUUUUCCUUAAUAAAGCCAAAUAAUUUA